AACGAACGCUGGCGGCGCGCCUAACACAUGCAAGUCGAACGAGAAUCCGGGGCAACCCGGUAGUAAAGUGGCAAACGGGUGAGGAAUACAUGGGUAACCUACCCUUGAGAAGGGAAUAACCCGCCGAAAGGUGAGCUAAUACCCUAUACGCUAUCUUUUUUUCGAAAAGGAUAGGAAAGCCGGGUCGAGGACCUGGUACUCAAGGAGGGGCUCAUGUCCUAUCAGCUUGUUGGUGGGGUAACGGCCUACCAAGGCUACGACGGGUAGCUGGUCUGAGAGGAUGAUCAGCCACACUGGCACUGAGAUACGGGCCAGACUCCUACGGGAGGCAGCAGUGAGGAAUAUUGCGCAAUGGGCGAAAGCCUGACGCAGCGACGCCGCGUGGGGGAUGAAGGUUUUCGGAUUGUAAACCCCUUUCAUGAGGAAAGAUAAAGUGGGUAACCACUUAGACGGUACCUCAAGAAGAAGCCACGGCUAACUUCGUGCCAGCAGCCGCGGUAAUGUCU
rnacentral:rRNA from 1 species